UACGUAGGGGGCUAGCGUUGUCCGGAAUCAUUGGGCGUAAAGCGCGUGUAGGCGGCCCGGUAAGUCCGCUGUGAAAGUCGGGGGCUCAACCCUCGGAUGCCGGUGGAUACUGUCGGGCUCGAGUACGGAAGAGGCGAGUGGAAUUCCUGGUGUAGCGGUGAAAUGCGCAGAUAGUCAGGAGGAACACCAAUUGCGAAGGCAGCUCGCUGGGACGUUACUGACGCUGAGACGCGAAAGCGUGGGGAGCAAACAGG
rnacentral:rRNA from 1 species